GAUGAACGCUGGCGGCGUGCCUAAUACAUGCCAGUCGAGCGAACGGACGAGAAGCUUGCUUCUCUGAUGUUAGCGGCGGACGGGUGAGUAACACGUGGAUAACCUACCUAUAAGACUGGGAUAACUUCGGGAAACCGGAGCUAAUACCGGAUAAUAUUUUAAACCGCAUGGUUCAAAAGUAAAAGACGGUCUUGCUGUCACUUAUAGAUGGAUCCGCGCUGCAUUAGCUAGUUGGUAAGGUAACGGCUUACCAAGGCAACGAUGCAUAGCCGACCUGAGAGGGUGAUCGGCCACACUGGAACUGAGGCACGGUCCAGACUCCUACGGGAGGCAGCAGUAGGGAAUCUUCCGCAAUGGGCGAAAGCCUGACGGAGCAACGCCGCGUGAGUGAUGAAGGUCUUCGGAUCGUAAAACUCUGUUAUUAGGGAAGAACAUAUGUGUAAGUAACUGUGCACAUCUUGACGGUACCUAAUCAGAAAGCCACGGCUAACUACGUG
rnacentral:rRNA from 1 species